ensembl:lncRNA
CAGGAACGAAAUGCUUGGUGGCAGUAAGUGUGGUUUGCUCCUUCCAAACUGGCAGUCUCUGAAAAGUUGGUUUGCCCCAAGAAUUCAAUGAAAGCUUUCCUGUCACCUACUGGCCACCCACACACCUGCUGGCAGCGGAGACCUGACAGAGUCCCCUCCUGCCACACCCCAGCCUGAGUGGGCAGCAGCUUCCUUUUCUCCCUGUGGCCACCAGGAAGCCACCUCAGUAACACCCUACAUGGGGUCAAAAGUCAGGUCACACCCUGGACCACUCAGGAAGUCGCUCCAGACCCGGGAGGCAGGAGGGCCAGGAAGUACGUGUGCCACAGGCUACCAGGUUAGCCAAGGUCCUCCAGCAGGGGCAUAGGUGGCCCCUACGGAUACCAUCCCAGGAGACCCUGCUGGUAGCUCUUUCCAGCAGAAGCACCAGCAUCACCUGUGCUGAUGGGUCCACAGAAGCCCAAGCAGCGACCACCUGGUGACCCAGUCAGACGGGAAGGUAUGGCCAGCUGCAAGUGUGAUGUCAGCCACAGCCACAGCAGACUGCAGACACCAACGAUUCCUGAGCCUCUAA